UACAGAGACCUCAAGCGUUUAUCCGGAAUCAUUGGGCGUAAAGCGUACCGAUAGGUGGUCUUACAAGUCAGAAGUGAAAUCUUAAAGCUUAACUUUGAGACUGUCUUUUGAAACUGUAAGACUAGAGGGGCAAAGAGGAAGCUGGAACGAACGGUGUAGUAGUGAAAUGCGUUGAUAUCGUUCGGAACACCAAUAGCGUAGGCAAGCUUCUGGGUGCCACCUGACACUGCUAGGACGAAAGCGUGGGGAGCGAAGUGGG
rnacentral:rRNA from 1 species